AUUGAACGCUGGCGGCAGGCCUAACACAUGCAAGUCGGGCGAGCGGCGCACGGGUGAGUAAUGUAUGGGGAUCUGCCUGAUGGCGGGGGAUAACUACUGGAAACGGUAGCUAAUACCGCAUACCAUCAGAUGAACCCAUAUGGGAUUAGCUAGUAGGUAAGGUAACGGCUUACCUAGGCGACGAUCCCUAGCUGGUCUGAGAGGAUGAUCGGCCACACUGGGACUGGAACACGGCCCAGGGUCCUAGAUGAGGCAGAGGGGGGGAAGAUUGCACGAUGGGCGGAAGCAUGAUGCAGCGAUGCCAGGUGUAUGAAGAGGGCCUGGGGGUUGUAAGGAGCUUUCAGUCGGGAAAGGUUACCGACAGAGGAAGCACCGGCUAACUCGGUGCCAGCGGCGGGGGAAAAU
rnacentral:rRNA from 1 species